UACGUAGGGUGCAAGCGUUGUCCGGAAUUAUUGGGCGUAAAGAGCUCGUAGGCGGUCUGUCGCGUCUGCUGUGAAAUCUCAGGGCUUAACCCUGAGCUUGCAGUGGGUACGGGCAGACUAGAGUGCGGUAGGGGAGACUGGAAUUCCUGGUGUAGCGGUGAAAUGCGCAGAUAUCAGGAGGAACACCGGUGGCGAAGGCGGGUCUCUGGGCAACAACUGACGCUGAGGAGCGAAAGCGUGGGGAGCGAACAGG
rnacentral:rRNA from 1 species